UCCGGGCGAUGUCAUUUUAAGAACGUCACUUUGACUUCAGUGGAAGACGUCUUUAUGUCGUCCUGAUUGGUCAUUUCAGGUUAUAUCAUAUCUUUCAUACACAAUGGCGUCUUUUUUGUGGUCUUUAAAAUGACUUUCUUUUACCACAGUAAUCAAUCACGUGACUAAAAUAAGAUAUGCAAUUGGUGGUACAGAUGGCGCUGGCCCCACCAUCGCUACCGACCUAAGACCAGUAUUACGGGCAACCCGGUUUUGUAAUUGUUUGGUGUUGUAUUUCCUUUUGUGUUCGGUAUUUGUUUCACAUUUUGGAUAUUGAAAAUGCUUACCAUCUUAGAAAAUGGCCAAAUUGGAUCAAAUCAAGCAGCAGUCUUCAUAAGCUCCAUUUGUUAAAGAUGAUACAACUUUUGUUGGAAGGAAAGACUUGGUUGUGGAUAAGUUGUGGGAAAGGGUGAAGGAGACACAGAUAAUUGUUGCGGAUUGGUUUACAGCAAAUUAGUUAAGUGUCAAAAAUUCAAACAAAAAAUCAAAAUCUGUA